GGGUACUAUUUUAUUUAAAUAUAGAUAGUUAAGACGAGACGAGACAAAAUUGAGACAGGAUCAGGGCAUAUUUGAAGAUGACACACUCUAAGAUUGCAAGUUUCAAAUAGCAACAAACAUCAGCGCUGCAAUUGUCACGUACUAAAAAACAGAUCUUUGAAUUGAAGUUGAACAAAAUCAACUAGUCAGAUUCUAAUCUUUGUCUUCGUCAACUUCAGACCCAACUGUUGGAACGGCACUUUUGGUACUUUCAGGUGUCGUGAUGCGUCCAGUCAUAGGAUCAACUAAUCGAGUGUCCCGUGGACCGCCUUUUUGUCCCAUAGCCAACAUAGGUGGAGGAGGUAGUACGCCUGCUCGGAAAAGAAGGCGUUGAACUGGAUCUGAAGGCUGUGCACCUACGGAUAACCAAUACUUCAACCUAUCAAAAUUAAGACCCAUCCGUUUACCACCAUCUUGCCCUGGUAAAGGAUUGUAAUAACCAAGUACUUCCAAGUGUUUGCCGUCUCUCGGAGAUCUGCUAUCGGCGGCCAUUACUCUGUAAAAAGGUUUGUUUUUGCAUCCAAACCUCGAUAACCUUAAUCUUACCACCAUUUUCAACUGCUCUCCGGCGAAUGAAUCAACUGCGACUGUCAAUCCGGCAACGAAU
rnacentral:misc_RNA from 1 species